AUUGAACGCUAGCGGGUUGCUUUACACAUGCAAGUCUAACGAGUGGCGGACGGGUGAGUAAUAUAUCGGAACGUGCCCAGUAGCGGGGGAUAACUACUCGAAAGAUUAGCUAAUACCGCAUACUGUUGGAGCGGCCUAUAUCGGAUUGGCUAGUUGGUUGGGUAAAGGCUCACAAAGGCAAAGAUCCGAAGAUGGUUUGAGAGGACGACCAGCCACACUGGGACUGGGACACGGACCAGACUCCUACGGUAGGCAGCAGUGGGAAAUAUUGGACAAUGGGGGAAACCCUGAUCCAGCCAUCCCGCGUGUAUGAGAAGGCCUUCGGGUUGUAAAGUACUUUUGGCAGAGAAGCGGUAUCUGAAGAAUAAGCAACGGCUAACUACGUGCCAGAAGGCGCGGUAAUUC
rnacentral:rRNA from 1 species